AACGAACGCUGGCGGCAUGCCUAACACAUGCAAGUCGAACGAGACCUUCGGGUCUAGUGGCGCACGGGUGCGUCACGCGUGGGAACCUGCCCUUAGGUUCGGAAUAACUCCCCGACAGGGGUGCUAAUACCGGAUAAUGUCUUCGGACCAAAGAUUUAUCGCCUUUGGAUGGGCCCGCGUUGGAUUAGCUAGUUGGUAGGGUAAAAGCCUACCAAGGCGACGAUCCAUAGCUGGUCUGAGAGGAUAAUCAGCCACACUGGGACUGAGACACGGCCCAGACUCCUACGGGAGGCAGCAGUGGGGAAUAUUGGACAAUGGGCGAAAGCCUGAUCCAGCAAUGCCGCGUGAGUGAUGAAGGCCUGAGGGUUGUAAAGCUCUUUUACCCGGGAUGAUAAUGACAGUACCGGGAGAAUAAGCUCCGGCUAACUCCGUG
rnacentral:rRNA from 1 species